rnacentral:rRNA from 1 species
AUGAACGCUGGCGGCGUGCUUAACACAUGCAAGUCGAACGGAGUUUACUUAACAGAUUUCUUCGGAAUGAUGUUUUUUAAACUUAGUGGCGGACGGGUGAGUAACGCGUGGGUAACCUGCCUUACACAGGGGGAUAGCAGUUGGAAACGACUGGUAAUACCGCAUACCUUACAUUAUUCGCAUGUUUGAUGUAAGAAAGAUUUUAUCGGUGUAAGAUGGACCCGCGUCUGAUUAGCUAGUUGGUGUGGUAACGGCAUACCAAGGCGACGAUCAGUAGCCGGCCUGAGAGGGUGAACGGCCACAUUGGGACUGAGAUACGGCCCAGACUCCUACGGGAGGCAGCAGUGGGGAAUAUUGCACAAUGGAGGCAACUCUGAUGCAGCGACGCCGCGUGAGUGAAGAAGUAUUUCGGUAUGUAAAGCUCUAUCAGUAGGGAAGAUAAUGACGGUACCUACAGAAGAAGCCCCGGCUAAAUACGUGCCAGCAGCCGCGGUAAUACGUAUGGGGCAAGCGUUAUCCGGAUUUACUGGGUGUAAAGGGAGUGUAGGCGGCAGUACAAGUCAGGAGUGAAAACUUGGGGCUCAACCCCAAGACUGCUUUUGAAACUGUACAGCUAGAGUGUAGGAAGGGCAAGCGGAAUUCCUGGUGUAGCGGUGAAAUGCGUAGAUAUCAGGAAGAACACCGGUGGCGAAGGCGGCUUGCUGGACUAUAACUGACGCUGAGACUCGAAAGCGUGGGGAGCGAACAGGAUUAGAUACCCUGGUAGUCCACGCUGUAAACGAUGAAUACUAGGUGUUGGGUCUCGAUAGAGAUUCGGUGCCGAAGCAAACGCAUUAAGUAUUCCACCUGGGGAGUACGUUCGCAAGAAUGAAACUCAAAGGAAUUGACGGGGACCCGCACAAGCGGUGGAGCAUGUGGUUUAAUUCGAAGCAACGCGAAGAACCUUACCAGGUCUUGACAUCCUGCUGACCGGUCAGUAAUGUGACCUUUUCUUCGGAACAGCAGUGACAGGUGGUGCAUGGUUGUCGUCAGCUCGUGUCGUGAGAUGUUGGGUUAAGUCCCGCAACGAGCGCAACCCUUGUGAUAUGUUACUAACAUUGAGUUGAGGACUCAUAUCAGACUGCCGGUGACAAACCGGAGGAAGGUGGGGAUGACGUCAAAUCAUCAUGCCCCUUAUGGCCUGGGCUACACACGUGCUACAAUGGCACUAAACAAAGUGAGGCGAGACAGUGAUGUUAAGCAAAGCACAAAAACAGUGUCCCAGUUCGGAUUGUAGUCUGCAACUCGACUACAUGAAGCCGGAAUCGCUAGUAAUCGCAGAUCAGCAUGCUGCGGUGAAUACGUUCCCGGGUCUUGUACACACCGCCCGUCACACCAUGGGAGUCGGAAACGCCCGAAGCCGGUGGCCUAACCGUAAGGAAGGAGCCGUCGAAGGCGGGUUCGGUGACUGGGGUG